UACGAAGGGGGCUAGCGUUGUUCGGAAUUACUGGGCGUAAAGCGCACGUAGGCGGACUUGUAAGUCAGGGGUGAAAUCCCGGGGCUCAACCUCGGAACUGCCUUUGAUACUGCAAGUCUCGAGUCCGGAAGAGGUGAGUGGAAUUCCUAGUGUAGAGGUGAAAUUCGUAGAGAUUAGGAAGAACACCAGUGGCGAAGGCGGCUCACUGGUCCGGUACUGACGAUGAGGUGCGAAAGAGUGGGGAGCAAACAGG
rnacentral:rRNA from 1 species